rnacentral:RNase_P_RNA from 1 species
GGGCCGGACAGUUGCGGGUGCGUCCUUCGCGCCUGAGGAAAGUCCGAGCAUCACAGGGCGGGAUAACGGCUAACGGCCGCCGAGGGUGACCUUAGGGAAAGUGCAACAGAGAUAUACCGCCGCGGCGAGGCAACUCUCCGCGGUAAGGGUGGAAAGGCGAGGUAAGAGCUCACCGGCAUGCGGGAGACCGCAUGGCCCUGCAAACCCUAUCCGAUGCAACACCGACCAAAGCGAUACAUUUGCCCGAUGUGCUUUAACGGGUGGCUGGAGCAGCGGGAGCAAUCCUCUGCCAAGAUAGAUAACUGUCCACGACAGAACUCGGCUUACAGGCCCGGUUGU